rfam:Homo sapiens chromosome 6, GRCh38 reference primary assembly.
GCCAGGCAUGGUGGUGCAUGCCUGUAAUCCCAGCUACUUGGGAGGCUGAGACAGGAGAAUUGCUUGAGCCUGGGAGGUGGAGGUUGCAGUGAGCCGAGAUUGCAUCACUGCACUCCAGCCUGAGCUACAGAGUGAGACCGUGUCUCAA